UAGUUAGUUUAUAAAUGUUUGUUGUUAAAUCACUAUAUUGUGUGGUAAAUGUUUAUUCAGUUUUAAAACAUUUUAUUUUAAGAGAAAUGUUUUAUCCAAAUUUUGUUCUGUUAUUGUUUUUAUCUUUUUUUUUUUGCUGUAACCAUUCUAGUAGAAAUUUAGUGGCAAUAUAAAUGAUGUUGUACAUCAUAUCAUUAAUAAAAUUGCUGGUUUUUAUAUGAAUUUAAUAUAUGUUUAAAAUAUUUUAAAAGCUGUCUAAUUAAAAUGGCGAGUUGUGUACAAAUUAUUCGGAAAAUAUAUAAGCGUUAUCUUUGGGAUACCACUUGUAAUGAUGUUCCAAGAACAACUGAGUGGAGAAAGAAAACUAUGGGCCCUGUCAAUCGAUUCGAAGUGUCAGUUUCGCUCCAAGAUUCGAGUUUUAUUCAAGAUUUGAGUGUUGUUGUUGUUAAAUAGUGUGCAUAAAUUAUUUAAUUUUAACUUUAUAAUUUUAUCUAAAUUACUGCAUUAUAAGCAGGGAGGUUUGAUUGGUGAUGGAAAUAAUGUUUUACAUCUUUCAGAUAAUUCAGACGAAGAAAAAGUAUUCUUUUUUUAAUUUUCCAUCUAGAAGUAGUAAUAUAUUUGUUUGUAUGUCUUGCAUUUAUACAUGUGCAUUUAUAUACGCAUAAAUCUUUUUAUUUUAACUUUAUGCUUUUAUUUAAAUUACUACAUUAAAAGCAGGUUUGACUGGCAAUGUAAAUGAUGUUAUGCAUCAGAUAGCUCAGUCGAAGAAAUAAGUUUUUAAAUUACAAUUUAUUAGUUAUACCUUAUUUGUUGCUAUAAAUUUUGUUUCUUUAUUUGUUGUAUUUAAAUGUUACUUACGUUAAAGUAAAUUAUAAUAUAUAAUAUUUAUAAGUAUAAUUAAAUUAGUAAGUAAACAAAAUUAGUUAGUAUGUAUAUAUUAAUUUUAUGAUGUAUUGUCUAGAUUGGUGAAUCUGACAAUAAUAAUAACUUUCGUGAAAACCAUAAUGAAUAUCAAAAUGUGAAUGGUAAUUUGUUUGAUGGUCCUCUGUAUGAAGAAAAAAUGUUACCUGAUUCUGCAAUUACAGUUGGCGGUGCUAUUGCACUGCCAACUGUAAUUGCAGAAUCAGGUUUUUGACAAAACUUGCUUUGGAUGAUUUGCUCAGUCUCUUGCAUAUUUUUAUACCUAAUUUAUUGUUACCAAAAACUAGAUAUUUGUUUAAUAAAAUGUUUGGUGUCUGCCAAGGCAAAUUGGAACAACAUUUCUUUUGUAAUGAAUGCUCUACUUGUAUAUAUUUGGGUACCACUAUAAGUGAUUUUGAUGUUUGUCCAGUUUGUGAAGUAGAUGUAAAAAACAGUUUGAAAAGAGAUUUUUUUAUUGUGCUGCCACUUGAACAUCAGUUAUGUGAAAUGUUAGAAAGUAGUAAUUUGUUUGACCUUAUUCAGUAUUGUUUUGAUCGAGUUGAAUAUAAUGCCGACAACAUUGAGGACAUUUAUGACGGAUCUUCAUAUAAAUCUAUUGCAGAAUUGCAACAGACAAUAAAUAUGUCACUGACACGGAAUUGUGAUGCAGCAAGUGCUUUCAAAUUAUCUUAAAAAAGUAUUUGGCCUUUACAAUGUGUAAUUAAUGAGUUGCCUUUUAAUAUUCGAAGGAAGCAUGUGUUCUUAACAGGUUUAUUUACAUUCCUCAACUAACACUUUUAAAAAAAUAAACAUUUUUUUAAAAGUGUUAGUUGAGGAAUGUACAAAGUUAUUAAAUAAUGGUUUUUGUGGUUUAGUAAAUCUCAGAAUAAAAAUAUAAUAAGUAAGGUCUAUUGCUUAAUAUGUUUUUGUGAUUCUGCUGCAAGGUGUGUUUUGCAAAGUAUUAAACAAUUUGAUGAAAAAUAUGGAUGUGCAUGCUGUUUAAAUCUAGGUAUUGCAAUUAAUAACAGUAAUGGUGGACCUCCAAAACGUGUUUUUGCUAAUCAAUUAUAUCCAAGCAGAACUUUAGAUGGAUUUGUUGAUGAUGUGAGGUAUCUUGUAGAAAAUGAAGAUAUAAGAAAUGGUGUAAAGGGUGCAACUCCAUUGUUACUGAUUCCUUACUUUAAUAUAAUUGAUGGAUUUGUUGUUGAUUACAUGCACUGUAUUUAGCUAGGAGUUGCAAAACACAUGAGCGUCUUGUGGCUUGAAAAGACCAAUGAGCCAUCGUAUAUUGGCAAUAAAAUUAACAAUAUGAAUAAAAUGAUGCUAAAAAUAAAACCACCUAGUAAUAUUACAAGAACACCAAGAUCUUUACAUGAAAGAGCACAGUGGAAAGCCUCAGAAUGGCAUAACUGGUUGUUAUUUUAUUCUUCAUUUGUUUUGCCUGGUGUUUUAUUACAAGUUUAUUAUAAUCAUUUUUUGUUACUAGUGGAAAGCAUUUACAUAUUGUCAAGCGAAAGUAUUAGUCAGGCAGACCUAGAUCUGAAAAUCAAUUGCAUGUGUUUGUGUCAGAUUUUAAUGCUAUAUAUACCAUUGAUUAUAUGACUAACAAUAUUCAUUUGUUACAGCAUAUUUCUUCUACUGUUCGUGAGUGGGGUCCAUUAUGGGACCCCACUCACAAACAUUUCUAACUUUAUAUUUGAGAAAAGCAAUGGUUUUUUGUUGGACCUUUUCAAGGGUACACAAAUUGUACCACUUUAGAUAUGUUUUACCUUUACCCUUUACAGAAAUUUGCCAAUUAUAAGUGCUAAAUAUUUAAAUUCAGCACCGGAAUCUGUUUUAAAUUUUUUUGAUAAUUUUUUUGACAUCUGGAAAAGCUGCUAGCGUUACAGAAAAUGUAAAACUUUUUGGUGUACUAAAGUAUAAGUUUCUAACUAAUGUUGAAAAACGUGCUUUGGAGACAAUUUUACAUAAUGUAGUUCCAGAUCAGUUAGCUUUUUUCAAAGGAGGAGUUGUAAUAGAAUUAAUUACUGUGCAGUUGUGCGAGAUAAUAUACUGUGUCUUGUUAGCUCAUUUGUUAUUGUUAAUAAUGAAUGUUAUGAAUUCUUGAUUAAACUCACUACAGAGAGAUGUGCAUUUCUAUCUCAUCGUGCUAUAUCUAGACAUAUUAUGACAACUACUGGUUCUAACAGUAAUACUUUGGUUGCCAUGUUUGCUAAUGAAAUUCAGCAAAAGUGUUUAUAUGUGUUUUCUCUUGUAACAUAUGUUUGCUUUCUGCCCAAUCAAUGGGAAAUUGACUAAAUAGUUCCAAAUUGCAUUUGGUUUAUUCUGUUUAUAUAAAUCUGAUGCUUUAUUUAUUUAUUUAAAUGUAAAUUGCGCUUGUUUUAUUAUGCAUUGUGUAUCUUAUUUUAGCUGUUGUAAGUAUUAUAUAUAACUUAAAGGUUUGUUGAAUUUAUUAGUACGUUUGUUUUAAAAAUAGUAAUUUCAUUAUUAUUAUUAUUAUUAUUGCUAUUAUUGCUAUUAUUAUUAUUAUUAUUAUUAUUAUUAUUAUUAUUAUUAUUAUUAUUACAUUAUUUUUUUUUAUAAUCUACGAAUUUCUCUAAAAUUGUUUCCUUUAUUAACAAAUCUUUUAUAGUUAUCAAUAAUAUAAAUAAAAUUGAUAUCAUAUGUUUACAUUCAGUAUUGUUAAUUGUUUUGCUCAGUGUCAGGUUAGACAGCUGUUGUCCCACCCCACCCCCACAUUCCCAAGUUAGUUUUAAAGAGAUGGAUAAAUUUUUUUCAUUUUGUGUGAAUAGUUUUUCAACAAUUUUUUUUAUGUUAUAGUUAUGAAAUAUAUUAAUUCCUUGAAGAUGAGUUAUGCUUUAGUGUUUUGGGUUAACACGCCAGCAAACUUUAAUUGUGCCUUCAAUUGCUGAUUAGUGACAAGCGAAUGCUUACUGACAGUAAACAAGUUGGCAAGAUCAAAUGGAUGAACGAAAAAAAGAAAAUAUCUUCAAAAGGAUGGUCUUCACAUGAUGGGCUUGUUCUUUUAAUUAGUGACAAUUGAUUUGAGCAAAGAAGAAAAUAAAUAUUGGGCAGAAAAAGAUAAUUAUGAUUCAGAUACUAGUAAGAGUUCUCUGUCAUCAAAUGAAAGUCAUCAUGCUUUAUUCGAUGAAGAAUCAGAACAAAAGAAAUUAAAAAUACAAGUUGGUAACUCGGAAAAUAAAUUAAAGCAGAAAAGGGAAGGUUAUGCAACAAAAUCCUUCAACAAAAGGAUUUUAUCUGUUAUUUCAAGCAAUGGUUAUAAUGAAAAUGAAAUAGAUAGUGAAAAUCUGGAUAAAAUGCCCUGGUUUUUACAAUCAGAAAAUGUGACAGCUAUGUUAAAACCUUUAAAUACUGCAAGAUUAACGGCGUCUUCAAAUUGUUCAAAGUGGCUAUUUGUCAUUAUGAUAUAUGUCAUUUGAUAUUUACAUUGAUAUUACGAUAUUUGUCAUUUGAUAUUUACAUUGAUAUUACGAUAUUUGUCAUUACGAUAUAUGUCAUUACAAUAUUUUUUACAGUGGCCACUGUACAAAAAUAUCGAUGGUAAUGUUUGACCUUUUAUUUAUUAAUUGACAGAUUUUUGUUAGUUGUUUUUAAUUUCCUCUUGUUUUACUAUUUAUUAGUUUAUUAUUAAUUUGAUUAAUAAAAAAUAAAAACAGGAAUUAUUGUUAAAGAUUGUUUAAUUUAAAUUAUUUAACAAAAAUCAAUUUAAUCAAUAACAUGUAUAAUACACCUCAUUUUGAUAAAUCUGAUAAUCAACACUAUUUGAACCAUUUAAAUUUGUGCAACUAAUAAUUUGUUAAAUAUAUCUAAAUAUCAGAAUGUUUAUACCCUACAGAAAUUGCUGUUAUGACUGUGCACAGUGGGCCAGAAUGGCAAAUUUUGAGACAAAACUAAUAACUUAUUUAUUAUUAGUUCUUUAUUCAUCAAAUUUGGCACACAUACUAAUACGAGGGCUGGGUUUUUUUUGAAAGUUUUUUUUAUUUUGUUAUUUGGUUGCUAUGGAUACCUUAUUUUGCAUAGAACAAGUUUUUUUGGGAGUUGCAGGUUUUCUAUUUAUGCUAUUUUCACUAUACUUGUUAUGCGCAUUUAUAUGAAGUCAAUGAUAUUUAUGAA